rnacentral:rRNA from 1 species
UACAGAGGUGCCGAGCGUUAGGCGGAAUCACUGGGCUUAAAGCGUGUGUAGGCGGACUUCUAAGUACCUUGUGAAAUCCCACGGCUCACCCGUGGAACUGCUGGGUAUACUGGUCGUCUUGAGCCACCUAGGGGCGAGCGGAACAAAUGGUGGAGCGGUGAAAUGCGUAGAUAUCAUUUGGAACGCCAACGGUGAAAACAGCUCGCUGGGGGUGUGCUGACGCUGAGGCGCGAAAGCCAGGGGAGCAAACGGG